rnacentral:rRNA from 1 species
AGAGUUUGAUCCUGGCUCAGGAUGAACGCUGGCGGCGUGCUUAACACAUGCAAGUCGAACGAUGAUGCCAGCUUGCUGGUGGAUUAGUGGCGAACGGGUGAGUAACACGUGAGUAACCUGCCCUUAACUCUGGGAUAAGCCUGGGAAACUGGGUCUAAUACCGGAUAUGACCUUCCAUCGCAUGGUGGUUGGUGGAAAGCUUUUUGUGGUUUUGGAUGGACUCGCGGCCUAUCAGCUUGUUGGUGAGGUAAUGGCUUACCAAGGCGACGACGGGUAGCCGGCCUGAGAGGGUGACCGGCCACACUGGGACUGAGACACGGCCCAGACUCCUACGGGAGGCAGCAGUGGGGAAUAUUGCACAAUGGGCGCAAGCCUGAUGCAGCGACGCCGCGUGAGGGAUGACGGCCUUCGGGUUGUAAACCUCUUUCAGUAGGGAAGAAGCGAAAGUGACGGUACCUGCAGAAGAAGCGCCGGCUAACUACGUGCCAGCCGCCGCGGUAAUACGUAGGGCGCAAGCGUUAUCCGGAAUUAUUGGGCGUAAAGAGCUCGUAGGCGGUUUGUCGCGUCUGCCGUGAAAGUCCGGGGCUCAACUCCGGAUCUGCGGUGGGUACGGGCAGACUAGAGUGAUGUAUGGGAGACUGGAAUUCCUGGUGUAGCGGUGAAAUGCGCAGAUAUCAGGAGGAACACCGAUGGCCAAGGCCGGUCUCUGGGCAUUAACUGACGCUGAGGAGCGAAAGCCUGGGGAGCGAACAGGAUUAGAUACCCCCGUAGUCCAAUCACUAGUGAAUUCCCCGCCCGCCCGCCGGUCGACCCUAUGCGCAAACUCCCCAACG